CUCCAUCACUUUGCAGGCCAGAGACCCUUGGCUGGUGACAACCCACCUGGGCCUCGCUCAGCCACACUGGUAUGCCCCAGUGUUAUAGCCUGUACCCACAAUCAGCAGUUCCCAAGCUCUUGUACUGCACCCAAGAAGAAUGAGGAUAUGGUGAACAUUGAAGUGUGAGGAGGGUGGCCUGAAUUUUAUUGAGCGACGGAACAGCUCUCAGCAGAGGGGAUGCAGUGGGGCGAUUCCGCUACCGGAAGGUGGGCAAGUCUCCCAUGUGGCUGGGUCCAGGGUGUUUUGUGGACUCAGAAUGGGGAGUGCAUGCUGACUGGCUUAUAAGUAUGCAAAGUGAAGACAUCACCCAAAGAAUCCUUGGCCAGUCAAAUCUACAGGGUAUCUCUCCUCAAGCAGUAAUCAGGGGUCCAUGAUUGCCAUGACAGAAGAAGAAACAGAAGAAUAAUGAUUGCUGGCUGUUAACUUCCUCGGCCUGGAAGUCAUACUCUCUGCUCACCUCUCAUUGGUUUGGACCAACCUACAGUCCCGUAGUGAGGGUAAGAACAUAGAAAACACAUGCAUACUUUGGUGAGCACUAACAACCUCUGCAAUAAAUAUAAAUAAGGUAAAGGCAGACUACAAAAAGAAUAAAAAUCCAUAAACAGAUUUUAAAAGUAUAUUAUCAUUAUUAUUCAGAGAGUCUUCCUCUGUUGCCUAGGCUGGAGUGCAGUGGUGUGAUCAUGGUUCACUGCAGCCUUGACCUCUCACGUCAGCCUCCCAAGUAGCUAGGACAACAGAUAUGCACCCACCACACCUAGCUAAUUUUGUAUUUUUUAUAGGGACAAGGUCUCACUCUGUUGCCCAGGCUGGUUGCAAACUCCUGAGCUCAAGCAGUCCUCCUGCCUUAGCCUCCCAAAGUGCUGGGACAAAAGGCAUGAGCAACUGCACUAGGCCAAAAAUAUAUUAUUUUUACAGGAAUGUUUGGAAGGCUACUCAACAAUAAAUCUGACAACCUAGCUUCAAUAGACAAAUUCUUGGGAAAAGAUAAAGAACCAAAAUCGGAACAAGAAGAAUGUUAAAGAAUAGCCAAGGCCAGGCACAGUGGCUCACACCUGUAAUCCCAGCACUUUGGGAGGCUGAGGUGGGUGGAUCACAAGGUCAGGGGUUUGAGACCAGCCUGACCAACAUAAGGAAACACCGUCUCUACUAAAAACACAAAAAUUAGCCAGGCGUGCUGGUGCACACCUGUAAUCCCAGCUACUCAGGAGGCUGAGGCAGGAGAAUUGCUUGAAAACCCGGGAGGUGGAGUUUGCGUUGAGCCGAGAUCGCCAGAGCGAGACUCUGUCUCAAAAAAACAAACAAACAAAAAAACAAAUAGCCAUAUGUUAACAAAAAUGGAAAUAGUAAUCAAAAAUCUCUCUCUAUCCUUGCCUUGCUUCACAAAAAAAUAAAAAUAAAAAUAAAGCCCCUGUUCCAGCUAUCAACUAAUUGUCCUUCAGCUGUAUCCCUUCUUUGUUAUCCUGCUUUGCGAUAGUAAAGCUGGACCCUGUAAACAUUUCUUCUUUUCCAGUUGGCAUGGUGGUAAGUUUUGUCAGUAGAGAGCGCUGGGGGACACUCCCGGUGGAAUGACUUCUCUCCUUGGUUUCCAAAUGCCACUCCUCUCUUUUGCAGUGAGACCUUGUCCCUAAAAAAUUAUAAAAUUAGCCAGGUGUGGUGGGUGCAUACUUGGGAGGCUGAGGUGAGAGGUUGAGGCUGCAGUGAACCAUGAUCACACCACUGCACUCCUGCCUAGGCAACAGAGCAAGCACUUCUGCAGCACUCAGCCUGCAUGAGGGAAACCCACUGGCACUCAGUCCUUCUAGUGAGUUCCUGUGGAACCCCCAUGGUGGCAUUCUAGUAGGCUCUACCAGCCUGCCAGCCAUCCUCCCAGCCAUCCUCCCAGCCAGCCUCUCCCAGCCAGCCUCCCAGCCAGUCUCCCAGGAGGGAGUUAGGUGUCAUCUCCACAAGCGAUUUUGUUGGCAAGUUCUGUAAGCUCCCAGCUGACAUUCAGGAUGUCUCACAGGCAAUCCAGCAGACAGUAUUCCAGCAAGUUCUGCUGCCCCCCAGUUCCCUUUCUAAAUAACCUCACAGGCAUCCCAGUGGGUGCUUCCUAUUGAGUUUGAGCAGAACUCCAUGGGCAGGCUUCCCAGAGGGCAGCUAACCUCCUGCAAGUUUUGUUUACACCCUAGACACAGUUUUCUGAUGAUCAACCUGGGCCUUUGACACCUCAGUCAACUUUUACACUAUUCAGAGGGCUACAGUCACACCCUUUCUAACAAAGUCUAAAUUAGCCCCUGUUGGAGGUGGGGGAACCCUCUUCCAAAUUUGUUCCUCCCUUGGGUCCUCUGUCUUAGCCCUAGUAGUUGUGACUUUUCCAUAGGGGGAAUACAUUCUACAUCUGUAUUCCUUGGAGUUCCUUCAUUAUCAUUUAAUAAUUCUUUUCAUUGCUUUUUCUGUUCAACUUAUUCUAUAACUUCUGUCUCCUGACUAGAUCCUGACUGAUGUAGCCCAAGACCCAGACAGUUUCAAAAGGAGAGUGCACCAAACGUCAAGGCACAGACAAUCCCAAUUUUACAUAUCAUCAAAAACAAAGAAAAAAGGAAAGGAAAUUUAUUUUAUGAUUCUAGUGCAAUUCACAUUCUCAAUCUAGAUUAGGGCAAUACAUUAAAACACAAUUUCAUGUCCUUCAAUAGGCAAAUCCAUAAAUGAGCUAUGGCACAUCUGACAAUAGGAUGUUAUUCAGUGAUUUAAAAUGUGAGUGUUCAAACCAUUUUUAUAGGGCAGGAAGGACAGCUGCAUAGGUGAAGCAGAGGGGAUUUUUAGAGCAGCAUAAUUGUUGUGUAUGAUACUGUAAUGGUGGAUACAUGCUAUUAUACAUUUACCAAAACCCAGAAAAUGUGCAUCAACAGUGAAUUCCAAUGUAAACUAUAGACUUUUGUGAAUAAUGUAACAAUAUUGGCUCAUCAAUUGUAAUAAAUGUACCGUGCUAAUGCAAGAUGUUAGUAAUAAGGGAAACUGGGGUAGAGUGGAGAGUAUAUGGGAACUCUCUGUAUUUUCUACUCAAUUUUUCUGAAACUUAAAACUGCUCCCCCCCAAAAAAUAAAACACAAUUCCAGACCUAACUUACUUAUGAAUAUAAAGCAUAAAUGCCAACAUGAUGACAUGAUGUUUUUGUUUCUUUAUUUCUUUUUUUUUUUUUUUUGAGAGACAGGAUCUUGCUCUGUCGCCCAGGUUGGAGCGCACUAAUGAGAUCAUAGCUCACUACAGCCUCAACCUCCUGGGUUCAAGCAAUCCUCCCAUUUCAACCUCCCAAGAAGUUGGAACUAAAGGCAUGUGCCACCGCUCCCAGGUAAUUUUUGUAUAUUUUGUAAAGAUGAGGUCUCUGUCUCACCAUGUUGCCAGGCUAGUCUUGAACUCCUGGGCUCAAGUGAUCUUCUUGCUUCAGCCCCUGAAAGGGCUGGGACCACAGGUGUGAGCCAUCACACCCACUCAAAUGCAAAAAUCUUAAAGCAAAUAUUAGAUCAACAAACUCAGUAUUAUUUAAAUAACUACAUAAUGAUGAACUAAGGUUUAUAUCAGGAAUAAUAUAAUGAAUUAGCAUAAUAAAAUGUUAAUAUAACAAUAUAUUAAUAAGUAAAAAGGAAAAAUAACUUGGUCUUUUUGAUAGAUUCAGAAACACAUCAAUGAAGUUCAGCACUCAUUUAUGACAAAAACUAUCACAAACCAGGUAAGAAAUAAAUCUCCUUAAUGUAAUAAAGUCUACAUCCUGAAACUCAAUAGUAAAUGUAAUUCUUAAUGGAGAAUAUUUUUAAAAGUAAGAUAAUGUAAAAAUUGCCUUUAUAUUGAGAGGAUAUUAUAAUUUGCAUUGAACAUCCAGUAGAAUCAACAAACUAUUAGAAAGAGUUUAUCAAGCUUUCUGAACAUAGACAAGUGAGCACAUUUUCUUAUCCCAGCAAUAAGCUAUUAGAAUAGUAGUAGAAAAUAAGAUACCACUGAAAAAACUACAAAGUAUACAGAAAUUAACCUAAUAAAAUGCACAAAGUUUUUAUAGGAAAAAAAUUUUAAACCCUAUUGAAAGCCAUACAGUAGACUUGAGUAAAUACAGAGAUUACUAUAUCCAUGGAGGGUUUGACUUAACAUUGUAAAGAUGUCAAUUCUUUCCAAUAGUACUCUUUAAAUUUCAUUAGCACUGACUGCUGGCUCUUUCCUCCAAACUUCACCUGGUUAAACUACGAAAGAGGAAGGAAAGCACAGAUCUGAGGAUUUCACAGCUAUAACAAAAACAAAUGAACAGAAAGCUGUGAGAAACACAUUGGAAGACAAAAGGUAACUCAUGAUUUAAUGUGGAUGGAAACCAGCAGCAUGGGGUAGGUAAAUGUUAAUGCCACAGCCAGCAAAUAGAAUGGAGGAAAACUGUAUUAUUUUUAAACUUUUAUCAUAGAAUAAUUUUUAAAAGUACAAACAUUAAGAGAAUAGUAUAUGGUAUUCCCUUGUAACCUCCUUCACCCAUGUUCAACUCAUGGAAAAACUUUUUCACUUAUAUUCCACACAUCCCCUACUCAACUUGGAUACUUUUGCCCAACUGACUUCAAAAGGCUACUGUGCACGGGCAUGGUGGCCCAUGCCUGUAAUCCCAACCCUUUGGGAGGCCGAGAUGGGAGGAUUGCUUGAGCUCAGGAAUUCAAGACCAGGCCAAGCAACAUAAUAAGGCCCUGUCUGUACUAGAAAUCAAAAAAAUUAGCCAGGUGUGGUGGUGCAUGUCUGUAGGUAUUCCCAGCUACUCAGGAGGAUGAAGUGAGAGAAUUGCUGGAGCCCAGGAGGUUGAGGCUGCAGUGAGUUGUGAUUGUGCCACUGCACUCCAGCCUGGGCAACAGAGUGAGACCCUGUUUCAAAAAAAAAAGAAGGCUACUGUAGCAUUAAUUUUCAAAUAAUGACUGAGUAAUAGAAAAUCAUAAUCCCAUUUCAUUUAUGAAUGAACAUGACAUGAACAUUUUAAAUAAAAUAUUAGGUAAUAAAAUUUCAUACUUACAUUUAAAAUAAUAUUUUUUAAAUAAUAUGUUUCAUAAUGGAACCUAUCAGUAGCAUAUGACACUGUUGAUUCCUCUCUUUUUCUUCAUUUUCUUUUCUUGGCUUAAAAGCUAUAACUUUCUUUUGAUUCUCCUCCUACCUAAGAAGUUACUCCCUCUCAAGCUUCUUCUUUGGUGUGUCCACACUUUCCCAACUUUUAGCAUUAAAUUUCACCAAGACUGUGUCUCAGACCUCUCCUUUUCUCAAUCUAAACUUAUUUUCCAGGUCAUCUCAACCAUGCUUGCAACUUGAACUACCAUGACUUCCAAAUUUAUAUCUUGACCUUUGACUUGUCCUUAAAUGCGAGACUCAUGUAUGUAAUUCCCUACUUCACAUCUACACUUGAAUAUUUAAUAUACACUUAAGAUAUCCUAAAUCAUAAUUUUGAGCUUCUCUCCUCUACCUGCCCACCACCCCACCAAGCCUUCUGCUCCUGCCCUCUUCAUUUUAUUAAAUAUCAAUUUCAUCCUUAUAGCUGCUCAUACCUACACCCCGAAUAUAUCUAUGAUUCCUCUUUAAUAACCUGUAUCUAAUUCAUCAGAAAUCCUGUUUAACAUAUCUUCAAACAUAUCAAGAAUCAGACCACUUUGCACUACCCCAUAACUACCACUGGUUCAAAACAAUGAUUUCUUAUUUGGAUUAUGCAAAGCCUCUUAACUAAUCUCCUUCAACUCAUAUCACCUCUUAAAACUCUUCUCCCCAUCACAGCUAGAAAGUUUUAUUUUAAAAGUUUUUCAUAGACUUAAUUUUUUAGGGAACUUUUGUGUUCACAGCAAAACUAAAGAGAAAGUAGAGAGUUCCCAUAUAUUUCCUACCACUACACCAAAACAGCUUUCUCCACUAUCAAAAUCCACUCCCCAAACUGGUACAUUUGUUAACAUGGAUGAGCCUACAUUGGCACAUAAUUAUCACCCAAAGUCUAUAGCUUACAUUAUAGUUCACUCUUGGUAUAAAUUGAAUGUGUUUUGACAAAUGUAUAAUGAGCUGCAUCCACCACUAUAGGAUCAUACAGAGUAGUUUCACUGCCGUAAAAGUCUUCUGUGCACUGCCUACUCAUCCUUCUCUUCCAUCUGACCCCUGGAAACCACUGAUCUUCUUACUGUCUCCGUAGUUUUGUCUUUUCAGAGUAUCAUAGAGCUCAAAUCACCCAUUAUGUGCCCUUUCCAGAUUGGUUCCUUUCACUUAGUAUGCAUUUAUUAUUCUUCUAUGUCUUUUCAUGGCUUGACAGCUCAUUUGUUUUUUAGUGCCCAAUAAUAUUCCAUUGCCUGGAUGUACCACAGUUUAUUUUACCAUUCACCUACUGAAAAACAUCUCCUUGCUUCCAAGUUUUGGCAAUUAUGAAUAAAACUACGAUAAAUAUUUGUAUGAAGAUUUUUGUGUGGACAUAGUUUUCAACUCAUUUUAUUAAAUACCAAGAAGCAUGAUUGCUGAAUUAUAUGUGAAGAGGUAUGUUUAAUUUUGUACAAAACUGACAAACUAUCUUUCAGAAUGCGUACACCAUUUUGCAUUCCCACCAGCAAUAAAUUGGAGUUUCUGUUGUUCCAAAUUCUCACCAGCAUUUCAUAGUGUUUGUGUUUUGAAUUUUUACUAUUCUAUUAAUAACAGGUGUGUAAUGGUAUCUCAUUGUUACCUUAAUUUGCAAGCCUCCCUAAUGACGUGUGAUGUUAAACAUAUUUUACAUGUUUGUUUUCCAUCUGUAAAUCUUUGUGAGAUGUCUGUUCAGAUCUUUUGCUCUUUUGUAAUCAUUGUUUCUUUUUAAAUCAUUGAGUUUUAGAGACUCUUUAAAAAUGUAUGUUAGAUCAUUUUACUCCUAUUCUCAAAUAAAAAUAAUGAUCACAUUUAAUCUUCACCAUGAACUGUUCUAAGUGCUAUUCAAAUGGCAUUCCAUCCAUUUUAAGAUGUAUAUUCCUUUUUCUCUUCACUUUAAAAAUAUUUUAAAUUGGGAUGUAUCUCACUGCUGUUGGCCAGGGAGUAGUCAUGAUGUAACUGUCAUUGCCUAUUUAUGCAAAUAAAAACUUGCUAAAGAUGUUGGUGUCAUGGAAGAAAAUCUCAUAGACAAUAAUAAAACAUAAUUUUUAAAAUGUUGCAUCACCAGUGGUCUGAAUGCAAACAAGAAUGAUAUUGGGUAGAAAAAGAAAGACAUAGACAAUCUUAAAUGUAAAAGUUAAAAAAUCCUAAAAGUUACUAAUUGUAAAAAAUAUUUUAAUCAAUUCAUGCAACUUUUAGUUAAGACGUGGAAUGGUGAUGUCAUAGUAUUUUGGGAAAACCCUAAGUAAACCAACCCUCACAAAGGCUGAAACCUAGCAUUGAAUUAUUUCAAUACAUAUUUACAUCAAGUUGAUUCAUCCCUACUCUAUCUGACCACCAGAGAAAAGUAAAUAUCCCCUGGAGAAAGAUAAUAUCAUUCACAAUCUCUCUAACUUUUACAGUCUCUAGAAUGCAAUAAAAAAUUACCAAGCAUGACAGCAGGAAGAAGUAACUAACAGAAAACCUGCAAGUAAUAAAAACAUAGGAAUAAUCAAACAAAAAUAUUAAAAUCAUAUGAUAAACAUGUUCAAGAGAGUAGAGUAAAAGAUAGAGACUAUAUCCCCUGAGAAAUGAAUCAAAUGGGCUGGGUGCCGU
rnacentral:lncRNA from 1 species